GACGUAGGGCGCGAGCGUUGUCCGGAUUUAUUGGGCGUGAAGAGCUCGUAGGCGGCUUGUCGCGUCGCCUGUGAAAACCCGUGGCUCAACCAUGUGGUCUGCAGUCGAUACGGGCAGGCUAGAAUUCGGUAGGGGAGACUGGAAUUCCUGGUGUAGCGGUGAAAUGCGCAGAUAUCAGGAGGAACACCGGUGGCGAAGGCGGGUCUCUGGGCCGAUAUUGACGCUGAGGAGCGAAAGCGUGGGGAGCGAACAGG
rnacentral:rRNA from 1 species